AACGAACGCUGGCGGCAUGCCUAACACAUGCAAGUCGAACGAGACCUUCGGGUCUAGUGGCGCACGGGUGCGUAACGCGUGGGAACCUGCCCUUAGGUUCGGAAUAACUCCCCGAAAGGGGUGCUAAUACCGGUUAAUGUCUUCGGACCAAAGAUUUAUCGCCUUUGGAUGGGCCCGCGUUUGAUUAGCUAGUUGGUAGUGUAAAAGCAUACCAAGGCUAGGAUCCAUAGCUGGUCUGAGAGGAUGAUCAGCCACACUGGGACUGAGACACGGCCCAGACUCCUACGGGAGGCAGCAGUGGGGAAUAUUGGACAAUGGGCGAAAGCCUGAUCAAGCAAUGCCGCGUGAGUGAUGAAGGCAUUAGGGUUGUAAAGCUCUUUUACCCGGGAUGAUAAUGACAGUACCGGGAGAAUAAGCUCCGGCUAACUCCGUG
rnacentral:rRNA from 1 species